CAGAAGAAUAUUAUAAGAAAAUGCAUUUACUAUUUGACAUAUGUUAUAUCUCAAUAUUAAGAAGCUACCAAUCAUUAGGUAUUAAGAAAGAAAAAGUACUUCUUCGAUUAAUGUAUGAAAAUGUAAUAAAUCAAUGGAUGAUUUUAAAUUAUACAAGAGAAAUAAUGCAAUAUGAUUUACAAUUAAAUAAUGAUAGUAUAUUAUUUUAUGUGGCACUAAACAAAAUGAAGGAUGGUGUUAAUUAUAUAAUGAGCGAAGAAAAUAUUAAAGUUAUUCAAUCAGAUCUAACACAAAUUUUAGACAAUUUUGUAAAUAAUUUAAAUUCAUAUAAAAUAGGUAACGGUAACUCUGCCUUCUUUAUUAGUAAGCAUGCCCAGGUUAAGUUACCUUUAAUUAAAGUGAUAGGAUAUAUGACUCUAACUGAAAAUAAAUUAGUUGAUUAUAAACAGUAUAUAAAAAUGGAUAAACAAAAUAGUGUCGGUACUAACAUUGCCAAAGUAUCCAAUGAUAGUAUACCUAACAACACAUCUAAAAACGACAUGAAAAAAAUAGACAAUGAUGUCAUUAAAAAAGAAAUUAAUUCAUUUAAUGAAUAUUUAAAAAGAAACGAAAAUAAUAAUAAAAUAAUUGUUCAAGUUUUAUUAAUUUCUACAAAAGAUAAUAUACCUAAAGAAAAUGAUGAAAAUUAUAGUGUUAGUUUUAGUAUUGAGCAUGUAUACAAUAUUUUAAUUGAUUAUUUUAUAUAUAAUGAAAAAAGUAAGGCUUUAUUAUAUGAUGGUACAUUUUAUAUUAUAUCAGAAUAUAUUUUUGGUAAAGGUAAAGAAAAGGAGUUGACAGAAGAAGAAGAAAAAAAAUAUGAAGAUAUAUCAGUAAAUAUAUUUUUAAAAAUAAUAGGUUCUGUAAAUUAUAAUUUAAAGCAAAUACAACGGUUUAUUAAGUUGUACUCUAAAACUAUUAUUGCUUUUUAUAAUUUACAUGUCUAUGGUGCAUGUUUAAAAACAAAGGGUACCAACAAUUUGAAUUUUGUUGCUGCGUUUGGUCAAGGUGUUGACAGUAAUUUAGUUAAUAAUGUUUUAAAAGACAUACAAUCCGAUGAAAUAAUUGCACAUAUUAAAGUAUAUUCAAAAGCGAUUAAUAAUAAGAAGCAUAAAUUAAAAAGUAUAGCUAUUAAAGAUAUAAUAGAGGAGUUAGAUAAGUCACCUCAUUUCAG
rnacentral:lncRNA from 1 species